UUGGCUCAGGAUGAACGCUGGCGGCGCGUCUUAAGCAUGCAAGUCGAGCGGGAUUAGGGUAGCUUGCUACCUUAUGAGAGCGGCGGACUGGUGAGUAACGCGUAGAUGACGAACCCUCCGGACGGGGACAGCCGGUAGAAAUACCGGGUAAUACCGGAUACGGUCGUAUGUGUCAGAGGCAUACGAGGAAAGGAGCUCAGGCUCCGCCGGGGGAUCGGUCUGCGACCCAUCAGCUUGAUGGCGGGGUAAAGGCCCACCAUGGCGAUGACGGGUAUCCGGCCUAAGAGGGUGAACGGACACAUUGGGACUGAGAUACGGCCCAGACUCCUACGGGAGGCAGCAGUGGGGAAUA
rnacentral:rRNA from 1 species